rnacentral:rRNA from 1 species
GAUGAACGCUAGCGAUAGGCCUAACACAUGCAAGUCGAGGGGCAUCACAUGAAGUAGCAAUACGGAUGGUGGCGACCGGCGCACGGGUGAGUAACACGUAUGCAACCUGCCUUCAACAAGGGGAUAACCCGUUGAAAGACGGACUAAUACCCUAUAACACAGGGGUCCCGCAUGGGAAUAUUUGUUAAAGGACAACCGGUUGAAGAUGGGCAUGCGUUCCAUUAGCUGGUUGGUGAGGUAACGGCUCACCAAGGCAACGAUGGAUAGGGGAACUGAGAGGUUUAUCCCCCACACUGGUACUGAGACACGGACCAGACUCCUACGGGAGGCAGCAGUGAGGAAUAUUGGUCAAUGGACGCAAGUCUGAACCAGCCACGUCGCGUGAAGGAAGACGGCCCUACGGGUUGUAAAACUUCUUUUAUACGGGAAUAAAGUGCCCCACGCGUGGGGUUUUGCAUGUACCGUAUGAAUAAGGAUCGGCUAACUCCGUGCCAGCAGCC